UGCCAGCAGCCGCGGUAAGACGGAGGGUGCAAACGUUGUUCGGAAUCACUGGGCAUAAAGCGCACGCAGGCGGCCACCUAAGUCAGAUGUGAAAGCCCACGGCUCAACCGUGGAACUGCAUUUGAUACUGGGUGGCUAGAGUACGGUUGGGGUGAGUGGAACUCCUGGUGGAGCGGUGAAAUGCGUAGAUAUCAGGAGGAACACCAGUGGCGAAAGCGGCUCACUGGACCGUAACUGACGCUGAGGUGCGAAAGCUAGGGUAGCGAACGGGAUUAGAUA
rnacentral:rRNA from 1 species